AGCAGCCGCGGUAAUUCCAGCUCCAAUAGCGUAUAUUAAAGUUGCUGCAGUUAAAAAGCUCGUAGUUGAAUUUCGGGACUAAUAUGUUGGUCGUGCCUCGGUACGUACUGAUAUUUUUGGUUUCUCCCUUCUGACGAACCUUGAUGUCAUUAAUUUGGUGUCUUGGGAAAUCAGGACUGUUACUUUGAAAAAAUUAGAGUGUUUAAAGCAGGCUCACGCUUGAAUACAUUAGCAUGGAAUAAUGAAAUAGGACGUUUGAUUCUAUUUUGUUGGUUUCUAGGAUCGACGUAAUGAUUAAUAGGGAUAGUUGGGGGCAUUAGUAUUCAAUUGUCAGAGGUGAAAUUCUUGGAUUUAUUGAAGACUAACUACUGCGAAAGCAUUUGCCAAGGAUGUUUUCAUUAAUCAAGAACGAAAGUUAGGGGAUCGAAGACGAUCAGAUACCGUCGUAGUCUUAACCAUAAACUAUGCCGACUAGGGAUCGGAUGAUGUUAAUUUAAUGACUCA
rnacentral:rRNA from 1 species